rnacentral:misc_RNA from 1 species
CAAAUCUUUGGAGGCUGGCUGCUGUGCAAACAGUGUGCUGGUUUCACAUUAGCACAAGGUCGCAAGGCCUUGAUGUUUACGCUUGUAUGUUUGACAAAUUUAGAUGAGAAUAUAAAUAAAGA